CAGAGUUGGGGUCUUUCAGGCCCGAUCUCCAACCCUAUGUGUACUCACCCUCGUUGCUUUGGCGGGCCCGGUCGGGGUGACCCACCCGGUGGCCUUUGGCUUCCCAGUGCCCGUCAGAGACCCAUUCAAAACCUGUCAAUUGUGCUGUCUGAGUAUCAACGCAAUAAUUA
rnacentral:rRNA from 1 species